rnacentral:rRNA from 1 species
GACGGAGGGGGCUAGCGUUGUUCGGAAUUACUGGGCGUAAAGCGCGCGUAGGCGGCUUUGUAAGUUAGAGGUGAAAGCCUGGAGCUCAACUCCAGAAUUGCCUUUAAGACUGCAUCGCUUGAAUCCAGGAGAGGUGAGUGGAAUUCCGAGUGUAGAGGUGAAAUUCGUAGAUAUUCGGAAGAACACCAGUGGCGAAGGCGGCUCACUGGACUGGUAUUGACGCUGAGGUGCGAAAGCGUGGGGAGCAAACAGG